UCUCUUCAGUAGUCUUUCAAUAGAAACAUACUGUAAUUGUUUUCUGUUGUAUUUGUUACGGACUGCCGCGAGUAGAGGUAUCAACUAAUGUUAUAAUACCCUGCCUUGACACAAAGAGUGACACAAAAACAAGAGUGAAAGGAGGGGACUGGUUCUUAUUCGAGGGAGUAGGUUGGGUCAGCUCACCUGCUGCACGCCGCUCUACAGGGGGACACUGGACGGCGUGGGGGUGAGUGGCGACCCCAAGCUUCUUCGGUGAGUUCAAGUUUUCUUUUUGUUUGGUUGGGGUAAAUUAUAAAAGCUGUACUGGACCUCCAAAGUUCGUGGAUCUCUGUGUUUGAGUCUUUUGUAGUUAAAACUGGCCGGCGUCCUCAUCACAUCCCAGCUGCGGCUAAUCACACCAAAUACCUUCAUGACGCGCAUCCAUGCGCACACCUCAGGAGAAUGGAUCGAUUUUUCAUACCUUUGGAUGUUUUCUGUUGUGGCUGCCUUGAAAAAGUGUCAUAAAAAGAAGAACAUCAGCCUGUCACGACUCUGACCUGGUUGGGAUGACUGAGACCACUGAGGUGAAGAAACAGGCAGACACAUCACAGCUUCUCUGGCAGAUCAAAACUGUCAUUUUGUUCACCUUACACCAGGUAGCAGUCAUUUAAGAUUGGACAGAAGAAAUUGGAUUUUCAAGUUAGCAUUGUGAAGAAAAUGACAGGCCAUGCGUUAAUGUGUUUUUGACGGAUCGAUAUGAGGUGCCUUCAUUCAGCUUAAUUUGAAAUAUCCAGUAAAUCUGCUGAAGACUGAGCUGCUUUGUCUGAAAUAUUGCACUCAUACAGAGCGAUUGUCCUACAGUUCCCAGACACUGAAUGGUAAAUCAGCUGAAUUCAUUUCUACAAUAAAAGACAACUAUGUUUCACGAGGA